rnacentral:rRNA from 1 species
UACGAAGGGUGCAAGCGUUACUCGGAAUCACUGGGCGUAAAGCGUGCGUAGGCGGUUUCUUAAGUCUGUCGUGAAAGCCCUGGGCUCAACCUGGGAAUGGCGAUGGAUACUGGGAAGCUAGAGUGUGAUAGAGGAUGGUGGAAUUCCCGGUGUAGCGGUGAAAUGCGUAGAGAUCGGGAGGAACACCAAAGGCGAAGGCAGUGUCCUGGGGAGUACCUGACGCUCAGGUGCGAAAGCCAGGGGAGCGAACGGG